UACGUAGGGCGCAAGCGUUGUCCGGAUUUAUUGGGCGUAAAGAGCGUGUAGGCGGCUUUACAGGUCCGUUGUGAAAACUCGAGGCUCAACCUCGAGACGCCGGUGGAAACCGUAAAGCUAGAGUCCGGAAGAGGAGAGUGGAAUUCCUGGUGUAGCGGUGAAAUGCGCAGAUAUCAGGAGGAACACCCGUGGCGAAAGCGGCUCUCUGGGACGGUACUGACGCUGAGGAGCGAAAGCAUGGGGAGCGAACAGG
rnacentral:rRNA from 1 species